CCGCGCCACCCCACCCCCGCGGCUCCUUUUUCUGCCUUUUCCUUUGUACCCUCACUGCUACCAGCUCCUUCUGGCGACCCCCAGGUACCCCCUCCCACCUUUCGUUUCUCUCUGGGUCAGCAGACCACGCAUGUAUCCAGAGGCGCUACCUGUAGGGAUCCUAAGCAACCCGGGCACUUUCAAACGCCGUAGCGGUUCCUAUAGCAACGACAAACCGGAAGUAUGGUUUGCCGCCGGAAGCGGAAGUCCCAAUCAAAAGUUGAGCAGUAGCUGUGUGGGACGUGCGUGCGGCGAGAUGGACACUCCCCCGCUCUCGGAUUCGGAGUCGGAAUCCGAUGAAUCCCUUGUCACAGACAGAGAGUUGCAGGAUGCGUUUUCCCGAGGGCUUCUGAAGCCAGGCCUCAAUGUCGUGCUAGAGGGGCCGAAGAAGGCCGUGAACGACGUGAAUGGCCUGAAGCAAUGUUUGGCAGAAUUCAAGCGGGAUCUGGAAUGGGUUGAAAGGCUCGAUGUGACACUGGGUCCGGUACCGGAGAUCGGUGGAUCUGAGGCGCCAGCACCUCAGAACAAGGACCAGAAAGCUGUUGAUCCAGAAGACGACUUCCAGCGAGAGAUGAGUUUCUAUCGCCAAGCCCAGGCCGCAGUGCUUGCAGUCUUACCCCGCCUCCAUCAGCUCAAAGUCC
rnacentral:sRNA from 1 species